CGGGGGGAGCAAGCGUUGUUCGGAUUUACCGGGCGUAAAGGGCGCGUAGGCGGCCACCGCAAGUCGACUGUGAAAUCUCCGGGCUUAACCCGGAAAGGUCAGCCGAUACUGCGGGGCUAGAGUGCAGAAGGGGCAACUGGAAUUCUCGGUGUAGCGGUGAAAUGCGUAGAUAUCGAGAGGAACACCUGCGGCGAAGGCGGGUUGCUGGGCUGACACCGACGCUGAGGCGCGAAAGCUAGGGGAGCGAACGGGAUUAGAUACCCCGGUAGUCCUAGCCUUAAGCGAUGAAUGCUUGGUGUCUGGGGUUUUAUAGUCCCCGGGUGCCGUCGCUAACGCUUUAAGCAUUCCGCCUGGGGAGUACGGUCGCAAGACUG
rnacentral:rRNA from 1 species